AAAAUGCGAUAAGUAAUGUGAAUUGCAGAAUUCGGUGAAUCAUCGAAUCUUUGAACGCACAUUGCGCCCGCCAGUAUUCUGGCGGGCAUGCCUGUUCGAGCGUCAUUUCAACCCUCAAGCUCAGCUUGGUGUUGGGACUCGCGGUAACCCGCGUUCCCCAAAUCGAUUGGCGGUCACGUCGAGCUUCCAUAGCGUAGUAAUCAUACACCUCGUUACUGGUAAUCGUCGCGGCCACGCCGUAAAACCCCAACUUCUGAAUGUUGACCUCGGAUCAGGUAGGAAUACCCGCUGAACUUAAGC
rnacentral:misc_RNA from 1 species